AGGUUAAAACAUAUUCUUGGUAGGUGCAACCCAAAGUAGGUCAACUAGCAUACGUGCUGAAAAUCGACUCCUGUGCUGCAGGUCAUCCAUACUCAGAGGCUUGGAGAAACCCCUUGAAUUUACAUCAUGGCCAAAGAAGAUGGAUAAGUAUAACUGCACAAUGUUUGCAUAAUGUAAAUCAAGUGUACAUUAUUGUCUGUGGAUUGUAAGCAAAAGUGAUUCAUUUUUAUUAUCACAAGUGUAGUGUGUUAUUUGCUUGUCAACUUUGACAAAAUGUUCAGCUUGUCAGAAUCCUGCUCACAAGCAGAAUGGGAUGCAGUCGAAUCCGGUGCUAGACCGAAAGAUACACUGUACCAUGGGGACACUGUACCUGUACCAUGGAGAAAUGCAAGUGGCUAAUGCCAACAAAUGUCUAAAGGCCCUCCUCCACCACCUCCUCCUCCGGCUUAUCUCCAUCCGCCUCCCUCAGGAGGACAUGAGGCCCUCAAGGCAGGAUCUCCAGCCAUAGUCACCAUACCACCAGCGUCUAGACACAUUCAAGGAGAAACCAUCUCCCUGCAGACUUCAUGGAUCCAUCAUCCCAUGACAUCAUUUGAUGGUGUCUAAUCGCCAAAUGUGUUGCUGUCAUUAGAUGUUGUGGUUCAUUUUAAA